AGACAUUAAUGGUAUUAACCUUAAGUAUUAAUUCGCAAGUACUUUAAAGUUGGUAGGACAACAGUCCCAAAUAUAAUCCGCAUUCCUAGUUUAUAUUUGGGGCUUUUACCAACCGGUGCCCCAGUUUUUUAUAAGCAACAAAUACUUAUUUAUCAACUAAGAUAUUCUUAAUUUCGUGACUAAUUCCAAUCAUCAGAUCACCAGUUAGCCACGUUCAUAUCUUCAAUAUUCCAAGUAAUUUAAGCAUAACGUUUGAAACUCAUUUUGCUGGCCAUAUUCUUAUGAGCUUAACUCGCAGCUAAGACGGUUGUUAGGAGGAUUUCUCCUUCACAUCCUUGCAUCCUCAUCGGAAACCCUUGCCUUUACUAAAAAUGAACAGACUUAAAAACAAAUAUACCGACAUAUAUACGUAUGGAAGCAUAAUACAGGUUCGAUGUUUGCGGAAUAGCAUUUAGUGCCAGAAAUCUAAAGAAAUUGUAUGAGAUUUAGGAAACCAUUGGUAGAAAUGCUGCUAAUUAUUAAUCGACAUUAUUGGAAAUUAUACAAAUAAUUCUCACUACAUAUUUAGACAUUUUUGCAGUUGCCUAGUCCGAAAUUCUUUUAGUUUUUCAAAAGUCUAUCGAUAUUCAGCAGCAUAGUUGAUCUUUUACAAAAUAUAUAUACAUUUAAAAAAAAUCAGAACUCAAAAUAUUUACGUAUUAUAAUAUAGCAAUAUUAGUAUUUUAGUUAUUGAUAAAUAACAAUUUAUUAUUAACUAUUAAAAUUAUAUAAAAAAUACAAACGAUAUGCCAAUAAAGGUAGCAUGUUACAAGAUAAUCUUCUUGCGAAUCCCGUCCUGCUUUUUCGUCGUCUUCAUGGAAGCAUAGUACCUUCUGUCAGAUCUACACUUCAAUCAUUCAGACAUUGUUCAAAAUUGAAAGAUUGGGGAAAUUGGAAAAACUUAAAAUUUUAGUCAUGGUUGCACUUUCGCGUACUUCAAAAUUAACCGUCGUUUGCGUGGGCGUCUAUACGACCUAUGUCAUCUUCAUAUUCUUCCUUUUGCCCAUGCUGAUGCCGGAUCCGGUGACCCUGCAACGCUCACUGGUCUCCUACAGCACCAGCCACUUGGGCGACAUCAGAAACCUCACACUGGAUGCCGGCGGUCAGCCAAUCCGCUCAAUGCUGGUCACGUUCCGGGGAUCGGGUGCCCUGACCCUGCUGGACAACCUGGCUCAUCAGCCGGGCUGCUAUCAGCACUACGCUCCACUGAUCGCCUACGAGAGCCGUUCCAUUGCCGCGAAGGAGCACGAUCGCGCCUUGGAUGAACUGGCGGCGCUGUACAACUGUGACUACAACAAGUCUGCGGAAAUGAUCCAAUGGGGAAUGCGAUCGCCGGUCUUCCGGCGCUUCUAUGGCGCUCAGGCCAAGAUCUGUCGCUCUUACAGCCAGGAGACCUGCUGGGAUGCCGAGACGAUGGCCGCCGUCUGCAAGCUGUACCCAUUCAUCAACAUGGCGGUGUACAACUUGCGGCUGAAUCUUCUGGCUCCUCUUCUGGAACGCAAAGACCUAAAUCUGAACAUCCUUUUACUUGUCCGCGAUCCUCGGGGCACCAUAUAUUCCCGAAUGAAUAACAAGUGGUGUUCGGAUGAGAGGGAUUGCGAGGCACAGGCCCUUUGCGGCGACAUGGUCAGUGAUUAUCAGAUGGUGGAGACCCUCACCAAAGCCUAUCCACAGCGUUUUAGCAUUAUACGUUACGAGGACUUGUUCCUACAGCCCGAGGAGAGUAUCAAACUGGUAUUCGACUUCUACGGAUUGCCCUUGAAACGAAACAGAUCCAGGAUUCACAAAAUGCAUCCGCGCAGUGGCUACUUUUUCCAGUCCUCUCGCUGGAAGGAGCUUUCCAGCCAGUCCGCCUUCGAGUGGAUAAGCGAAAUGAUGGUGGACGAUAUUGGGGCUGUACAGGACGUGUGCGGUCAGGCCAUGGACUUGUGGGGGUAUCGCUCCAUUCAGGACUUCAAUCACUUUUCACCGGAAUCUUUCCAGCCAAUUAUGGACAAAGCCUAGGUGUUUCUGGCCUGAAGACACCAACUGGCCUCGUUUAAUUGUCAUAGAUCGUCGAGUGAGUGGAGCUUCUCAUUCACUUCCCGUAUCGAAUUUCAGCCACAUCGCUGGUUUCAAUGGAUAGCGGAGAACAAGGUUGUCAUGUCACUGGGUUGCAAUUUCUGGCCGCCGCUCUCCAGACAAUUCAUUCCGCUCUAAAUUAUUUGUGCAACACUCGACGGUGGCAGUGGCAGUGGCACUAGCAUUCGCCAACUGUAAAUUGCUGCCACAAUAAUCGCAAUAAUUAAAAGCGAGCCCGGCCACAAAUCAUGGAAACUGCCGGCCGGCAGACGCAGCGUGAAAAGCGGCAGCGGAAAAGCGCUCGGUAAUUGAGGAAAAAUCUAGAACAAUCUUGGGUUGUAUGGUCGGGGAUGUGGCAGUGGCUGUCGGAUCACUUGGGAUCGUGGGGCGUUUUGUGAAAGGGUUCUUGAUAACUCAUGGCAAUUAAAAAAUAAGGUGAGCCGGCAUGUGGAUGCAGCUAUCUUCUAGUGUCAGUUUUGCCUGUGGAUUAUGUCGAUUAUUGCGGAUGUGGCAGAAAUUCCAAAUUUAUUAGUUGCGGUGCCUCCUUUUUCGCUUGGAG
rnacentral:misc_RNA from 1 species